CGCUGGCGGCAUGCCUUACACAUGCAAGUCGAACGGCAGCACGGAGCUUGCUCUGGUGGCGAGUGGCGAACGGGUGAGUAAUAUAUCGGAACGUACCCUAGAGUGGGGGAUAACGUAGCGAAAGUUACGCUAAUACCGCAUACGAUCUAAGGAUGAAAGUGGGGGAUCGCAAGACCUCAUGCUCGUGGAGCGGCCGAUAUCUGAUUAGCUAGUUGGUAGGGUAAAAGCCUACCAAGGCAUCGAUCAGUAGCUGGUCUGAGAGGACGACCAGCCACACUGGAACUGAGACACGGUCCAGACUCCUACGGGAGGCAGCAGUGGGGAAUUUUGGACAAUGGGCGAAAGCCUGAUCCAGCAAUGCCGCGUGAGUGAAGAAGGCCUUCGGGUUGUAAAGCUCUUUUGUCAGGGAAGAAACGGUGAAAGCUAAUAUCUUUUGCUAAUGACGGUACCUGAAGAAUAAGCACCGGCUAACUACGUGCCAGCAGCCGCGGUAAUACGUAGGGUGCAAGCGUUAAUCGGAAUUACUGGGCGUAAAGCGUGCGCAGGCGGUUUUGUAAGUCUGAUGUGAAAUCCCCGGGCUCAACCUGGGAAUUGCAUUGGAGACUGCAAGGCUAGAAUCUGGCAGAGGGGGGUAGAAUUCCACGUGUAGCAGUGAAAUGCGUAGAUAUGUGGAGGAACACCGAUGGCGAAGGCAGCCCUCUGGGUCAAGAUUGACGCUCAUGCACGAAAGCGUGGGGAGCAAAC
rnacentral:rRNA from 1 species